CUGUAGCUUGAGAAGUUGAGCGAUAUGCAGUGCCAACUUGAGUCACAGUUGAAGUUCAUUACAGAGGUCUGGCUACAGAUAGUUGAAUGUAGUCGAGUACUAAAAUUGACAUAUGCUGAUGGAUGUUAUUUGCUGGAGCAUGAACAUGCCAAGUUGUUUUAAGUAUUUGCAAGGUGAAGAUGAGCCUGGGUUGGAAUGGGUUCAUCAAUGUGCAGAAAAUGAGCUACAAGUUUACCUCAAUGAUAAGGACAUCAAAAGAUUUCAAUGAGUUUCGCACAAAACUAGCUGGAUUGACCAGGUUAUGUUCCACUAAAGAUAUUACACUACUUUUCUGAUUGGAUAAGUUGAUUCGGGUUACAAUGAUAUAGCUUUUCAGUUUAUUCAUACUAAGAUAUUAGUUUUGCUAAGUGGCAAUGCCAUGAUUGAAAUUUUAUAGAAGUGAUGAAUGGGCCAAUCUGAAAUACUAAAUUUCAGCUGAUGAACUCACUCUUAUUAUGACUAUUAUUGCAUAUACUCAUUUUUUAUUU